GAAGUCGACGGUAACAUUGAUGCUUGCAUCAGAUGACGAGUGGCGCACGGGUGAGUAACGCGUAUACAAUCUACCUUUUACAGGGGGAUAGCCUUUAGAAAUGAAGAUUAAUAUCCCAUAGUAAGUAGUUUUGGCAUCAAGACAACUUUAAAGUUUCGGCGGUAAAAGAUGAGUAUGCGUUCUAUUAGUUAGUUGGUAAGGUAACGGCUUACCAAGACCACGAUAGAUAGGGGCCCUGAGAGGGGGAUCCCCCACACUGGUACUGAGACACGGACCAGACUCCUACGGGAGGCAGCAGUGAGGAAUAUUGGACAAUGGGCGCGAGCCUGAUCCAGCCAUGCCGCGUGCAGGAAGACUGCCCUAUGGGUUGUAAACUGCUUUUAUACAGGAAGAAACCUUUUCACGUGUGAAAAGCUGACGGUACUGUAAGAAUAAGGAUCGGCUAACUCCGUGCCAGCAGCCGCGGUAAUACGGAGGAUCCAAGCGUUAUCCGGAAUCAUUGGGUUUAAAGGGUCCGUAGGUGGAUAAUUAAGUCAGGGGUGAAAGUUUGCAGCUCAACUGUAAAAUUGCCUUUGAUACUGGUUAUCUUGAAUUAUUGUGAAGUGGUUAGAAUAUGUAGUGUAGCGGUGAAAUGCAUAUAUAUUACAUAGAAUACCAAUUGCGAAGGCAGAUCACUAACAAUAUAUUGACACUGAUGGACGAA
rnacentral:rRNA from 2 species